AUUGAACGCUGGCGGCAGGCCUAACACAUGCAAGUCGAGCGGAUGAAGGGAGCUUGCUCCUGGAUUCAGCGGCGGACGGGUGAGUAAUGCCUAGGAAUCUGCCUGGUAGUGGGGGAUAACGUCCGGAAACGGGCGCUAAUACCGCAUACGUCCUGAGGGAGAAAGUGGGGGAUCUUCGGACCUCACGCUAUCAGAUGAGCCUAGGUCGGAUUAUCUAGUUGGUGGGGUAAAGGCCUACCAAGGCGACGAUCCGUAACUGGUCUGAGAGGAUGAUCAGUCACACUGGAACUGAGACGCGGUCCAGACUCCUACGGGAGGCAGCAGUGGGGAAUAUUGGACAAUGGGCGAAAGCCUGAUCCAGCCAUGCCGCGUGUGUGAAGAAGGUCUUCGGAUUGUAAAGCACUUUAAGUUGGGAGGAAGGGCAGUAAGUUAAUACCUUGCUGUUUUGACGUUACCAACAGAAUAAGCACCGGCUAACUUCGUG
rnacentral:rRNA from 1 species